UACGUAGGGUCCGAGCGUUAAUCGGAAUCAUUGGGUUUAAAGGGUCCGUAGGCGGGGCAAUAAGUCAGUGGUGAAAGUCUGUGGCUCAACCAUAGAACUGCCAUUGAUACUGUUGUCCUUGAGUUGUCGUGAAGUGGUUGGAAUAUGUAGUGUAGCGGUGAAAUGCAUAGAUAUUACAUAGAACACCGAUUGCGAAGGCAGAUCACUAACAACAUACUGACGCUGAUGGACGAAAGCGUAGGUAGCGAACAGG
rnacentral:misc_RNA from 1 species